GAAAUCUAAACAGUUUAAACUAUAUAGGAAGACAUUUAUAGGUUAGAAACAAUCUGUUCUACUUCUGCAGAUUAUCUAGAUAAGUGAUGAAGUUUACUUAGUAUAGUAUUUUUUUUUCUGUCACUUCUUUAUCUACCAAAAGUGUGAACCCAUGGUAUGAGCCACUAAUGCAAGCAUCGUCAUUCUUUUCUGAGUUUGUCUAAUUCACAUCUAAAUGUUUUCUAAGGAUGUCACAUCUAAGCUCCCACAAAUAACGCAGCAACAAGGAACAAAAAAAAAGCUGGGGCAAAAAAAAAAUACACCACAAACAUAGUGGACACAAGGUUAGACGUGACAUAAAUGUGUCCUAGACAGACCCUUCUUUUCUUAGUGAAACAUCAACUUUCCAAAGACAAUAUUCCAAACUGGACAGUUGAUACAUAGAGCUAUUUUACUUUAACAUUUAAAGUGUGGCUGCAAAUCUGGGAUGCAGGAGGUGAAAAUUCAUUGUCUAAUCUGUUUCUCAGUUUCCUCUUUCAGAAACGAGAGAUUUUUCAAGACCUUGCUCCACUGCUGUGGCACUCCUUUGGCACUGUUGCUGCACUGCUCCAGGAGAUUGUGUCAAUUUACCCUUCACUUUCACCUCCUACUUUGUCGCUAGUUGCAUCAAACCGUGUCUGCAAUGCACUUGCACUUCUUCAGUGUGUUGCUUCACACCCUGAGACCAGGAUCCCGUUCUUGAAUGCUCACAUCCCACUGUACCUGUACCCGUUCCUGAAUACUACCAGCAAGACAAGACCUUUUGAGUACUUGAGGCUUACCAGCUUGGGUGUUAUUGGUGCUCUUGUGAAGGUAAAUUAAAACUAGAUACUUAUGCAAACUAGGAAUGGAUGGUCCAUAUAGAUUUUUGCUUUAAAUGGUGAGAGGGUUGUUGAACCAGAGGGGAAAACAGUGAUGGGGAUUGGCUGUAUUCUUUCUUUUUUUUGUAGACUAUAUCUUGUUCUUUUGGUAUUCUCAUUCCAGUAAUCCAGUCAUUUUAAUCAAAUGGACUGGUUGGGAUUGGAUCCCAGGAAUCUCAACAGGAACUGUUAUUUUUGAAGCAAACAGGCUAA